rnacentral:rRNA from 1 species
CGUGACGGCGCGAGCAGGUGCGAAAGCAGGUCAUAGUGAUCCGGUGGUUCUGAAUGGAAGGGCCAUCGCUCAACGGAUAAAAGGUACUCCGGGGAUAACAGGCUGAUACCGCCCAAGAGUUCAUAUCGACGGCGGUGUUUGGCACCUCGAUGUCGGCUCAUCACAUCCUGGGGCUGAAGUAGGUCCCAAGGGUAUGGCUGUUCGCCAUUUAAAGUGGUACGCGAGCUGGGUUUAGAACGUCGUGAGACAGUUCGGUCCCUAUCUGCCGUGGGCGCUGGAGAACUGAGGGGGGCUGCUCCUAGUACGAGAGGACCGGAGUGGACGCAUCACUGGUGUUCGGGUUGUCAUGCCAAUGGCACUGCCCGGUAGCUAAAUGCGGAAGAGAUAAGUGCUGAAAGCAUCUAAGCACGAAACUUGCCCCGAGAUGAGUUCUCCCUGAGACUUAGAGUCUCCUGAAGGAACGUUGAAGACGACGA